rnacentral:rRNA from 1 species
GAAAGGCGGGCUAAACCCGCGUACAUGCCACCGGGGCAUCCCGGAGGCAGGAAAGGCUUCGGCCGGACAGGGAUGGGCAUGCGGCGCAUUAGGCAGUAGGCGGGGUAACGGCCCACCUAACCGACGAUGCGUAGGGGUUCUGAGAGGAAGGUCCCCCACACUGGUACUGAGACACGGACCAGACUCCUACGGGAGGCAGCAGUGAGGAAUAUUGGUCAAUGGUCGGGAGACUGAACCAGCCAAGCCGCGUGAGGGAUGAAGGUACAGAGUAUCGUAAACCUCUUUUGUCAGGGAACAAAGGCGGGGACGUGUCCCCGGAUGAGUGUACCUGAAGAAAAAGCAUCGGCUAACUCCGUGCCAGCAGCCGCGGUAAUACGGAGGAUGUGAGCGUUAUCCGGAUUUAUUGGGUUUAAAGGGUGCGCAGGCGGUCUGUUAAGUCAGCGGUCAAAGCCCGGGGCUCAACCCCGGCCCGCCGUUGAAACUGGCAGUCUCGAGUUGGAGAGAAGUAUGCGGAAUGCGCGGUGUAGCGGUGAAAUGCAUAGAUAUCGCGCAGAACUCCGAUUGCGAAGGCAGCAUGCCGGCUCCACACUGACGCUGAGGCACGAAAGCGUGGGUAUCGAACAGGAUUAGAUACCCUGGUAGUCC